rnacentral:rRNA from 1 species
GACGAACGCUGGCGGCGCGCUUAACACAUGCAAGUCGAACGGAAAGGCCUGCCUUCCCUUGUGUACUGCGGUUACUCGAGUGGCGAACGGGUGAGUAACACGUGAGUGAUCCGCUCCCAACUCGUGAAUAAGCUGGGGAAACUGGGUCUAAUUCCCGCUAGGACCGCAGGGUGGUGCCUGUGGUUGCAAACGAUUUUCUGGUGGUUGGGGCUGAACUCGCGGCUGAUAAGCUUGUGGGUGGGGUAGUGGUCUACCAAGGCUGCGACGGGUAGCCGGCCGGGGAGGGUGACCGGCCACAUUGGGACGGAGAUACGGCCCAGACUCCUACGGGAGGCAGCAGUGGGGAAUAUUGCACAAUGGGCGGAAGCCUGAUGCAGCAACGCCGCGUGCGGGAGGACGGCCUUCGGGUUGUAAACCGAUUUCGCCUGUGAUGAAGCGUGAGUGACGGUAAUGGGUAAAGAAGCACCGGCUAACUACGUG